UAUAUUUUUUUUAUAUAUACAUAUAAUUAAAUAAUUUUUGUAUAAAUUUUAAUUAUUUAAUAUAAAUAAAAUUAUACGGCGUCAUGGUGGCAACCCCAGGGACCGAAAAGAAACAAAAAAAAAACACAAAGGAAAAAUAAUGUCUAGAUUAUGGUAGUGCAACCAAAUUUCAGUUGGCAACGCAACCAAACAACAAAUAAAGAUUAAAAAUGAAAAGAAACAAAAAACACACAAAGGAAAAAUAAUGUCUAGAUUAUGGUAGGGCAACCAAGUUUCGGUUGGCAACGCAACCAAACAACAAAUAAAGGCUUAACAUGAAAAAUCUUGGUAAUAAACAAACCUAAAUCUAAUAGUAAAAAUUGGCAAUGCAACUAAACUACUUUAAAAGCCUUAAAAGAAAAAAAAUUGAAUAAUAUAUAUGAUUAGAAGUUGUAAAUUGGCAACGCAACUUAUAUAACUCUUUGAUGCCCAUAUGCUGGAGUUUUGGCUAUCUGGGAACUUGAAUCAAACAAAUAAGCAAAUCAAAGCCUAAAAUAUUAGAAAUUAUAAAAUUUUUAGAAAAAAGUUGUUUUUUUAAUUCUUUGUAUUUUUUUUAUAUAAAAAAAGUAAAGUUUAUGAAAAGUACCCUAGAAUAGGUCGCUUAAUUUGUAAUGUUUAAAAAGCCAAAAAGUUCAUAUAUUCGAUUUAAAGCCAAAUUUAUUUGCUAUCUACUCUUAUGAACUAAGUAGACACUUCAUGCAACUGAUGCCCCAAAAAAAACCACUCUCUACUACUCUUUCCUUUUUUUUUUUUAUAAAUCUUUGCCAACUGUAGUGACAUUGCCAAACACAAAUUUUCCCACAAAUAUUCCAUUAAUCAAUAGCGGCAUCACAUCGUAUGCCUUGUUAUAGCCGAAUGGGACAGUGUGUACCAGAGCGACAUCUUUUGAUAGAGAAAAUUAUCAAAGCUGCUGCAGCUAAUAAGGUCGACCAAAGACUAAAUGCAAGCAAUUUUUAUAGGUUUUAGGUUUGUAAAACUUCUCUACCAAGAGGUGUCGCUCUUGUACACCCCGUUCAACUCGGUAGAGUGGUUUUACUAAGCUGAAGAACCCAACAUUCAGCCCAUGGUAGCCGGUUGUACUUAGCGGAAUGACCCAAUGGAGUUCUUCAUCGGCAACGGCUGCCGUCUCAGUGUAUAACACAAUGCUACAACAACAACAACAACCCAACAAACGUUGAUCUCGUUUUGAGAAAGUUUUGAAAAAUAGCAAGAAAAUCUUUUGAGAGAGUUAUAAUAAUAAAAUAAAUAUAAUUAUGUGGUCUAUUGACCUUAAACUUUUAAUUUCCAGUUGGUUUGGCUUGAGACACAAAAUGCUUUCAAUUUGAAUUUUAUGAAUUAUUUUUCGAUUGACAUAUUCAAUUCUCCUCAGGGGAAAUUUGAAAAAUUUGAAAUUUAAGGCAGUAAGACGAAUUUCUCUUGUAAAAUUUCGUUGCAUACACUUUCACUUUUAGUAGACAAAGAUUCUAUACAAGAAAAGGUCCCCUUAUUAUUUCAUAAGUUCAACGUUUUUAUAUAACUCUUGAGGAUAAACGACGAUGCCAAUUGAAAAUAAUAAACCUAACGACAUUUCUUUUUACAAACUCUUAGUCUGCUAGUAGUGAAAAUAUAAACUCUUUCAUAAUAAUUAUCAUUAUUUCGAUUAACAUUGCCAACCAUCAUCAGGAGAUAUUAAAAAAUAUGGAACUGAAAAUAAGACAAUUUUCUGGAGAAACCUUUCUUGUCUACUUUUAAAGACCGAGAGCUUUUUCCAGAAACAUUGGACUCAUUUUCAUAAUUUAAACUUUUUUUAAUGGUCAUGAAGAUGAUUGACGAUGUCAAUCGAAACGAAUAAAAAAAUAGCCUUUUUCUUGUUUAUGCCCUUUUUCUUUUCUUUCUCUGUUAGUAGACAAAGAGGGUUUACAAAAGAAAGUCAAUUAAUUUUUUAAAGUUUCAAUUGACAUCGUUAAUCAUCCUCAGGAGAAACUAACAAAUUUUGAAUAAGUCGAAUUUUACUUGUUAAAGCUCUUUAUCUACUAACAGAGAAAUAGUAGACCAAACAGUUUUCAGUAGAAAAAUGUAUUAUGUUCAUAAGUUCAAUAUUUUUUAAUAUCUUCUGAAGAUGGUUGGCGAUGCCAGUCGAAAUAUGUCAUGAGAUUAAAUAAAGUAAAUUAAGGACUUUGGGCCGAAGCAACUGCUUAAAUAAUUAAAAAUGUUUUAAAAGAACUUUGCUGUUAUGCUAUUACAAAAAUUAGUCCCUUAGUGGGUUGCCUGAAAAGCGUUGUAUUUGUUUUUUGUUUAUCAAAUUUCCUAUUAUUUUUUAUUAUUAUAUAAAAAUUUAUAUUAUUGUUUUUUUUUUAAUUAACUAUAGCAAUUAAAAUAUUGUUUUAAAAAAUAUAUAUACGCUAUAAUUGAAGAGAAAGAAACCACAAGUUUAAGCAAACAAAAUACCACAAAAAAAUACUAUGGUCAUAUAUGAAUAAAAGAAAAUAAAAUCUGAGGAAAAGAGGUUUUUGCAAAACAAAAAAUAAACACAAAAAAAAAAAGAAAAUUACAAAAAAUAGUACACUAACAACACUACCUACUACUCUAUAUGGUACACUAUAAAUAUGUAUAACAUUAAUACAAAUAAGAAAAAUAUGAACUAUAUAUAGACUUAAACAUGAGAUGAAGAAGAAAAUAGCCCCCCCCCCCCAAAA
rnacentral:sRNA from 1 species